UAGCCAUGCAUGUGAUCAGUGCAGUCCUUGUACGACGAAACUGCGAAUGGCUCAUUAAAACAGUUAUCGUUCAUUUGGUAAUCAUCUACUACAAGGAUAACUGUAGUAAUUCUAGAGCUAAUACUUGCGUUUUCCCGACUUCUCGGAAGGGAUUGCAUUUAUUAGAUACAAACCAAUCGGUGGUUUACCACUGCUAUAUGGUGAUUCAUAAUAACUAAGCGAAUCGCAUGGGCUCGCCCGGCGAUAGACCUUUCAAGUUUCUGAUCUAUCAGCUAUUGACGGUAGGGUAUUGGCCUACCGUGGCGAUGACGGAUAAAGGGGGAUUAGGGUUCGACUCCUGAGAGGGAGCCUGAGAAACGGCUACCACAUCUAAGGAUGGCAGCAGGCGCGCAAAUUACCCAAUCCUGACACAGGGAGGUAGUGACAAGAAAUAACAAUACAGGGCUUCACAGUCUUGUAAUUGGAAUGAGUAGAUUCUAAAUCUCUCUACGAGUAACAAUUGGAGGGCAAGUCUGGUGCCAGCAGCCGCGGUAAUUCCAGCUCCAAUAGCGUAUAUUAAUGUUGUUGCGGUUAAAAAGCUCGUAGUUGAAUCUCUGAUCGGGAUGACCUCCUCACCUUAGGGUGACGGUAGCUGUUGACCUGAUCAUCCUCCUAGAACACGAUGGAUCUUAACUGGUCCAUUCGUGCUAGGACUAUUACUUUGAGGAAAUUAGAGUGUUCCAAGCAGGCAUUUGCCCUGAAUACAUUAGCAUGGAAUAAUAAUAUAGGACUUCGGUUCUAUUUUAUUGGUUCUGGACCGAAGUAAUGAUUAAUAGGGACAGUCGGGGGCAUUCGUACUCAACAGUCAGAGGUGAAAUUCUUGGAUUUGUUGGAGACGAACUACUGCGAAAGCAUUUGCCAAGGAUGUUUUCAUUGAUCAAGAACGAAAGUUAGGGGAUCGAAGACG
rnacentral:rRNA from 1 species